rnacentral:rRNA from 1 species
CGGACGGGUGAGUAAUGUCUGGGAAACUGCCUGAUGGAGGGGGGUAACUACUGGAAACGGUAGCUAAUACCGCAUAACGUCGCAAGACCAAAGAGGGGGACCGUUAGGGCCUCUUGCCAUCGGAUGUGCCCAGAUGGGAUUAGCUAGUAGGUGGGGUAACGGCUCACCUAGGCGACGAUCCCUAGCUGGUCUGAGAGGAUGACCAGCCACACUGGAACUGAGGCACGGUCCAG